UACAGAGGGUGCGAGCGUUAAUCGGAAUUACUGGGCGUAAAGCGUGCGCAGGCGGUUUUGUAAGCCAGAUGUGAAAGCCCCGGGCUCAACCUGGGAAUGGCAUUUGGGACUGCAAGGCUGGAGUUUGGCAGAGGAGACUGGAAUUCCCGGUGUAGCAGUGAAAUGCGUAGAUAUCGGGAGGAAUACCGAUGGCGAAGGCAGGUCUCUGGGCUAUAACUGACGCUCAUGCACGAAAGCGUGGGGAGCAAACAGG
rnacentral:rRNA from 1 species